rnacentral:lncRNA from 1 species
CAUGCCCCUGGGACCCUCGCCCUCCCAGCCCCAAAUUACCAGUUUCAGAGCUCCCCCAAGCUUGUCUCCUCCCGCUCUCCCCCAAUUCCACACCAUAACUUUGCCUCCCCCCCCAGGUGGGCACCCCUUGGAAGCACCUGGUGGGGCUGAGCCCCCCCCUGGCCCCCCAAGUGCUGCUGCUGCUGUGGGGGGGGCUGCCCAAUGCCCCCACCCUCAACUAUGGAGAUGAAGUGGGACUGAUGGACCCCCAGGGGGCGGGGUCUGAUCAGCUGACCCCGAUGCCAUGGACGGAAUUAAAGGCACUGCAAGAAGGCGGGAACAGCAGCCAGGCACAGUUGCUAUCACUGAGCCGCCGCCUCCGGGCACUGCGGAAGAAGGAGAAGAUCUUGGCAGUGGGCGGGGCCCAGGUGUUGUGGGCGGGGCCUGAUAGGGGCGUGGCUGUGCUGAGGGGGGACGGGGCCGGGGAGCGCUUCCUGCUCCUGCUCAACCCGGGGGCAGAGUCUUUGCACCCCUUCCGGCCCCGAUCGGAAGUGGCCACGCCCACCACUGGCCCCACCCCGCCCCCUCUGCCCCCCCGCGCUCACUUAGUGCUAAGCACACACGGAUCCCCUCCCCCUGGCACUGAGACCACCGUGGAGAUGGCGGAGCUGCAGCUGCAGCCCUACGAGGGGCUCCUUCUGCGUCUGCCCCCUCAAUAGGGAUCCCCGCUCCAUGGGUUCCCAUUGUGCCUCUGCCCCAUAGGGGUACCACAGUGCCCCCCCCCGCCCCCAGCAUUCCACUCCAGAGACCACACCUGUGGGGACCCCUCCUUGGGGCCUCUCUUCUGCCCCACUGUCCCUGUGUGCUGCAUUGUGGCUACCCAUACCCUUCCUUCCCCAAGCCCCCUUAGGGACCCUUCCCAUUGUCACCCCAUCCCAUCAGGAUCCCCCCCUCAAAUUCUCGAUCUCUCCUUAGAGGCCCCCAAUGGGAUUCAUCCUACUCAGAACUCGUGCCCCAAUUUUUCUCCUGGUGCCCCAUAACCCUAUGGGGACCCCCCUGUUCUUCCCCCACUUACCCAAUUUUGGGGUAAAUAAAAGUUUACUCCUGGUGCUGCA